UAACAAGGAUUCCCCUAGUAACUGCGAGUGAAGCGGGAAAAGCUCAAAUUUAAAAUCUGGCGGUCUUCGGCCGUCCGAGUUGUAGUUUGGAGAAGCGUCUUCCGCGCCGGACCGUGUACAAGUCUCCUGGAACGGAGCGUCGUAGAGGGUGAGAAUCCCGUCUUUGACACGGACCCCCCGGGGCUAUGUGAUGCGCUCUCGAAGAGUCGAGUUGUUUGGGAAUGCAGCUCAAAGUGGGUGGUGAACUCCAUCUAAAGCUAAAUAUUGGCGAGAGACCGAUAGCGAACAAGUACCGUGAGGGAAAGAUGAAAAGCACUUUGGAAAGAGAGUGAAACAGUACGUGAAAUUGCUGAAAGGGAAACGCUUGAAGUCAGUCGCGUCCGCCGGGACUCAGCCUUGCUUCGGUGGGGUGUACUUCCUGGUGGACGGGUCAGCAUCACUUUUUGUCGCCGGACAAGGUCGGGAGGAAGGUGGCCUCUUCGGGGGUGUUAUAGCCUCCCGUCGUCUACGGUGGUGGGGAGUGAGGCACUCAGCGCGCCUUUGGUCGGGGUUCGCCCACGAUCGCGCUUAGGAUGCUGGCGUAAUGGCUUUAAACGACCCGUCUUGAAACACGGACCAAGGAGUCUAACAUGCCUGCGAGUGUUCGGGUGGAAAACCCGUGCGCGCAAUGAAAGUGAAAGUUGAGAUCUCCGUCGUGGAGAGCACCGACGCCCGGACUUGAGCUCUUGCGACGGUCCUGCGGUGGAGCAUGCAUGUUGGGACCCGAAAGAUGGUGAACUAUGCCUGAAUAGGGUGAAGCCAGAGGAAACUCUGGUGGAGGCUCGUAGCGAUUCUGACGUGCAAAUCGAUCGUCAAAUUUGGGUAUAGGGGCGAAAGAC
rnacentral:sRNA from 1 species